rnacentral:rRNA from 1 species
UGGGGAAUUUUGGACAAUGGGCGAAAGCCUGAUCCAGCAAUGCCGCGUGUGUGAAGAAGGCCUUCGGGUUGUAAAGCACUUUUGUCCGGAAAGAAAUCCUUGGCUCUAAUACAGUCGGGGGAUGACGGUACCGGAAGAAUAAGCACCGGCUAACUACGUGCCAGCAGCCGCGGUAAUACGUAGGGUGCAAGCGUUAAUCGGAAUUACUGGGCGUAAAGCGUGCGCAGGCGGUUUGCUAAGACCGAUGUGAAAUCCCCGGGCUCAACCUGGGAACUGCAUUGGUGACUGGCAGGCUAGAGUAUGGCAGAGGGGGGUAGAAUUCCACGUGUAGCAGUGAAAUGCGUAGAGAUGUGGAGGAAUACCGAUGGCGAAGGCAGCCCCCCUGGGCCAAUACUGACGCUCAUGCACGAAAGGCGUGGGGAGCAAACAGGAUUAGAUACCCUGGUAGUCCACGCCCUAAACGAUGUCAACUAGUUGUUGGGGAUUCAUUUCCUUAGUAACGUAGCUAACGCGUGAAGUUGACCGCCUGGGGAGUACGGUCGCAAGAUUAAAACUCAAAUGAAUUGACGGGGUCAUAGCUGUUUCCU